GAUGAACGCUAGCUACAGGCUUAACACAUGCAAGUCGAGGGACCGGCGCACGGGUGAGUAACACGUAUCCAACCUGCCCUUUACUCGGGGAUAGCCUUUAGAAAGAAAGAUUAAUACCCGAUGUAAAGGAUGGGGAUGCGUUCCAUUAGGUUGUUGGUGAGGUAACGGCUAACCAAGCCUUCGAUGGAUAGGGGUUAUGAGAGUAAGUUCCACCACAUUGGAACUGGGACACAGUGCAAAUUCCUACGGGAGGCAGCAGUGAGGAAUAUUUGUGAAUGGUCUUUAGCCUGAACCUGCCAAGUAGCGUGAAGAAUGAAGGCUUAUGGGUCGUAAACUUCUUUUAUAUAAGAAUCUGUAUUAUAUUAAUAAGGAUCGGCUAACUCCGUGCCAGCAGCCGCGGUAAUUC
rnacentral:rRNA from 1 species